rnacentral:rRNA from 1 species
UACGUAGGGGGCUAGCGUUGCUCGGAAUCACUGGGCGUAAAGGGUGCGUAGGCGGGUUUUUAAGUCAGAGGUGAAAUCCUGGAGCUCAACUCCAGAACUGCCUUUGAUACUGAAAGUCUUGAGUAUGGGAGAGGUGAGUGGAACUGCGAGUGUAGAGGUGAAAUUCGUAGAUAUUCGCAAGAACACCAGUGGCGAAGGCGGCUCACUGGCCCAUAACUGACGCUGAGGCACGAAAGCGUGGGGAGCAAACAGG